CAGAAGAAAUAUUUUUCUCAAAAACUUACAUGCUUUCAGCAGAUAAUGAUAUAGAAGAGUCGCUUGCAAUGGUGAGAGAAAAAGGUUUCAUAUCACUAAACCAACGUUGUGACGCAGUUGUUCACUUUCUGGCCAUAAAAGGAAAUGUUGCUGCUCUUACAGCACUUAUUGAAGAAGGUCUUCUUAGUAUAGAAGCACUUAGAAAGAAGAAUGUCAAAGGAUGAACAGCAUUGCACGAAGCCGCGAGAUAUGGACAGAAGGAGGUGACAGAAAUAAUGGUAAUGCAAGACAUUGAUUUAGUUCAUUUAAAGGAUGAAGUUGGGGAAACGCCAUUGUACAUUGCAGCUGAAUAUGGGAAGGAUGAAGUUUUUAGACUUCUAGAGGAUUUUGGGAGUGAUUGCUUCGCUAAGAGAAAUGAUGGUUGCACUGUUCUUCACGCUGCUAAGAAAUGGGUUGAUUUCUUAAUUUAUCGAUUUCCGAUAUCAACUUUCAGAAUAAAUGAUUCAGUACUACGAUUCUUUUUCUAUAUCCUCCUGAUUCCCUUUAAAAUUUUGACAAUAAAGUUUAGACUAGAAGCUUUACUCGAUCUCCUACGUACUUACAAUUAUUAUUUUGUGUUGAGAAGCUAUCCCAGAAAUGUAUAUCGAAUCUGAAAAUGUUGUGAAUCUGGACGAGCAACAUGAUUUAAGAGAUGGUGGUAUCAUCAAACGACAAAGGUCAUCAAGGUUGCAAGCAAUUUUAGGUCUUCGAUGGUUGAGAAGAAUUGAUAGUGAGAAACAAAAACAUGGACUAGCUUUGUUACUAGCAGAAAGAUUAAUAUGGAAAGAAGAUUGGAGUUGUUAUACUCAUUUUGAUUCUCCAACAAAACCUAUAUAUGAUCAUUAAUCCCCUAAUACAAGCCACAAAACUGGGCAUUACCGAAUUGGUCACUGCAAUCUUAAAAGCACGACCUCAAGUUUCUGAUUCACUAGACGAAAAUGGAAGGAACAUUUUGCAUAUAGCAGUGGAACGAAAACAUUUACGUAUAUAUGAAUAUUUGAAGAAAAAACUUGGUCAUGACAAGGAUAGAAUGUUGGCAGAAGUUGAUAAAUAUGGGAACAACAUACUUCAUUUAGCAUCAAGUUUGGGAAUUCCAUCUACUCACUCUUCAGUUGUGCCAGUGGAAGAGUUUAAUACUGAUAUAGCACGUGAGAUGUGUUGGGACAUAUAUUGG